rnacentral:tRNA from 1 species
GGUCGUAUGGUGUAAUGGAAUAAGCAUAGUUGUCUGCGUAACUUCAGAUCCCGGUUCGAUUCCGGGUACGGCCGCCA